rnacentral:ncRNA from 1 species
GAGAGCCGUAUACAUAGAGACAUGUGAGUAUGGCGGUUCGGAGGGAAGUGGUUGGAGACCAUAGAAAUAUGUUGAGGCAUUGGAUUCUUACCCUAC